CGCCCUAUCAGCUUGUUGGCGGGGUAACGGCCACCAAGGCGAUGACGGUAGCUGGUCUGAGAGGAUGACCAGCCACACUGGAACUGAGACACGGUCCAGACACCUACGGGUGGCAUCAGUCGAGAAUCAUUCACAAUGGGCGAAAGCCUGAUGGUGUGACGCCGCGUGGAGGAUGAAGGUCUUCGGAUUGUAAACUCCUGUCAAGUGAGAGUAAAGCCGGGCGUUAACUGCGAGCCGGUUUGAGAGUAUCACUAGAGGAAGAGACGGCUAACUCUGUGCCAGCAGCCGCGGUAAUACAGAGGUCUCAAGCGUUGUUCGGAAUCACUGGGCGUAAAGGGUGCGUAGGCUGCACGGUAAGUCAGAUGUGAAAGCCCGGAGCUCAACUUCGGAAUUGCAUCCGAUACUGCCGUGCUUGAGGACUGGAGAGGAGAUUGGAAUUCACAGUGGAGCAGUGAAAUGCGUAGAUAUUGUGAGGAACACUAGUGGCG
rnacentral:rRNA from 1 species